rnacentral:rRNA from 1 species
UGCCAGACUCCUACGGGAGGCAGCAGUGGGGGAUAUUGCACAAUGGGGGGAACCCUGAUGCAGCGACGCCGCGUGGGUGAAGGAGCACCUCGGUGCGUAAAGCCCUAUCGGCAGGGAAGAAACAGACGGUACCUGACUAAGAGGCCCCGGCUAACUACGUGCCAGCAGCCGCGGCAAUACGUAGGGGGCAAGCGUUAUCCGGAUUUACUGGGUGUAAAGGGAGCGUAGACGGCAGUGCAAGUCCGGAGUGAAAGCCCGGGGCUCAACCCUGGGACUGCUCUGGAAACUGUAAAGCUGGAGUGCGGGAGGGGCAGGCGGAAUUCCUGGUGUAGCGGUGAAAUGCGUAGAUAUCAGGAGGAACACCGGCGGCGAAGGCGGCCUGCUGGACUGCGACUGACGUUGAGGCUCGAAAGCGUGGGGAGCGAACAGGAUUAGAUACCCCAGUAA